AGUGACGCUAGCGUAUAAUGGCGGAGGAAAAAGAUCCCAAACUUAUCAUUUUCAUCCAGAGUGGGAGGAAGAUUAUUUUUUCGUUUAUUCAAAUGGCAAAUCCAUCUGCCUUAUCUGCAAUGCAAACGUGGCAUUACCGAAGAAAGGGAAUUUGGAGCGGCAUUUUAAGACGAUCCACAAGAGCUACGAUGCUAGCUUCCCGGCUAAAAGCCGGCUUGCAGCACAACAGGCCGUUUUCCCCCGGACAAAUAACACCAGUAAGGCUGCAACCACAGCUUCUUAUCGUGCCAGCCGUGUUCUGGCAAAAAGAAAGAAAUCAUUCAAGGAUGGUGAAAUUGUGAAAGAAGCUUUCAUGGAAGCUGCAGAUGUGCUCUUUGCCGAUUUUAAAAAUCAGAAGGAGAUCGUGUCUGCAGGAUGUGCAGCUCUCAAGAAAGUCUGUUGCAUGACGAUGCGAGUUCAUGGCAGAGGAUAUUGAUCGGCAACUGAGGAAUGAUAUUGAGAUGGUACGCAGCAAUGACUCGACAGACUGGAGUCAAAGGUGGACCGCAUACUACAACUACUGUGAGGAAUCAGGCUGCUGAAGAAGCUGACUGCAUUGGAGAUAAUGCAGGCCAGACUUAAAACAACGGAGGAGCUGGACCAAUUCAGCAAAACGCUGGAGGACCAGGAGUUUAGGAGGACAGUGGUGAAUCUGCUGAAACAGCUAUCUGGAUCAAUGCUGAACUCCUUUGCCAGGACGAUGCUCGGCGAAAUUGGGAUGUGGCGGUUGUAGGCUGGCGUCAGCCUCAAAGGAUGGAAAGGGAAGAAAGCCCUGCAGCCUCUCACUCUCUAGAGUUUUGAAGAAAGCCUUCAGCAACAAGAUGGAAAUUUUACCAGAUGCUAUCGAUGAUGCGUUAACUGAAACACUGCGCCAUGCAGCAAAGAGGGCAAAGAAGGAGGAUGAAAGAAUUGGUACUGGUGUUAAUGCUGAUUCAGAUGCUGGGGUGAAUGAAGCCAUGGGCGAUGAUGUGGAUGCUGAUGCCAUGGACCAUUGUGUAGUGAAUGAUGACGCCAUGGACGGCAGUGCCAUGAGUGAUGAUGCCAGAAUUAGUCAUGGGUCAGAUGAGAAGUGAUUCAUUUUAUACUGAAAACUUAUGUCUCCCCCUCUGUAAGGUGCGGGGGAGACAUGAAAUAAGUGCCCAAUUUUCCUUGCACAACAACUUUUUCCUGGAUGCCAUGAUCAUCAACUCGACUGGACUGACGCUAUGUUUGUUUUG